rnacentral:misc_RNA from 1 species
CAUCUUUCUUCUUGAGGAUUUUUCUCGGAGUUUUUACGCAGAGCUCUAAUUGGGCCAACUUUCUUCUUGCCAAAGCAAAAAAUAUAUAACGUUUCUUGUCCAGUGUUUCUUAUCCAAUCUUCUAUAUAUAGUCCUUCACCUUCCCUCAUCUAGCACAAACUAUUUUCUUUUCACUUCCAAUCUCAUCAAACCUCUGUACCUCAGAGCAAACAGCAGACAUGGCUAAUGGUGAUUCUCAUGAUUUUGCUUCUCUCCUCUCUUCUUCUGAGAGGGAUUUCCUCAUUCGAAACAACGGUGAUCAGGUUAAGAUUGACAGCUUGAAGGGAAAGAAGCUGGCAUUAUAUUUUUCAGCAUCAUGGUGUGGCCCAUGUCAGCAAUUCACCCCAACCUUGGUGGAGGCUUACAAUGAACUUGCACCAAAAUGUGACUUUGAGAUUGUUUUCAUCUCAGCCGAUGAAGAUGAUGAAUCAUUCAAAAAUUAUUUUUUGAAGAUGCCAUGGCUUGCAAUUCCGUUCUCUGAUUCAGAGAUACGCGAUCACUUGGAUGAGCUAUUCAAGGUGCAGGGAAUACCCCACCUUGUGAUCCUUGAUGAAAGUGGGAAAGUUUCAUGUGAAAGUGGUGUUGAGAUCAUUCAGGAGUAUGGAGUUGAAGGUUAUCCUUUUACACCAGAAAAGAUCAAAGAAUUAAAAGAGCAAGAAGAAGAAGCCAGAAGGAAUCAACCUUUGAGAUCUAUCUUGGUUUUCCAUUCACGUGACUAUCUAAUUUCAUCCGAUGGAAAGAAGAUACCUGUCUCUGAACUUGAAGGGAAGACAGUAGGCCUGUAUUUCUCAUUGUCUUCAUACAAAUCGUGUGUUGAUUUUACUCGAAAGCUUGCUGAAGUUUAUGAGAAAUUGAAAGCACAGGGAGAGAAAUUUGAAGUCGUGUUCAUUUCACUGGAUGAUGAUGAAGAAGCUUUCCAGCAAUCCUUAGCAAACAAACCCUGGUUAGCAUUGCCUUUCAAGGACAAGUGCUGUGGGAAGUUAGUCCGGUAUUUUGAACUCUCAACUGUGCCCACUCUGGUUGUUAUUGGACCAGAUGGAAAAACUCUCCAUUCUAAUGUUGCUGAAGCCAUUGAAGAAUAUGGAAUUCAGGCAUACCCUUUCACCCCUGAAAAGUUUGCAGAGCUUGCGGAGAUAGAGAAAGCCAAAGAAGCUGCCCAAACCCUGGAAUCAGUUUUGGUUUCAGGGGACUGGAAUUUUGUCAUUGCGAAAGAUGGAGCAAAGAUUCUGGUGUCUGAUCUGGUUGGGAAGAACAUGCUCCUUUAUUUCUCAGCACAUUGGUGCCCUCCAUGCCGAGCCUUUCUGCCUACGCUCAUUAAAGCAUACCAAGAGAUUAAGGCAAAAGAUGAUGCAUUUGAAGUGAUUUUCAUCUCUAGUGACAGAGACCAAGCCUCUUUUGAUGAAUACUUUGCAGAGAUGCCAUGGUUGGCACUUCCCUUUGGAGAUGAGAGGAAGGCAUCAUUAAGUCGCAAAUUCAAGGUUCGAGGCAUACCCAUGCUUGUAGCUCUUGGGCCAACUGGCCGAACUAUCACAAAAGAAGCCAGAAUGCUUGUUAUGCUUCAUGGUGCUGAUGCUUAUCCCUUCACUGAUGAGCAUUUGAAGGAGAUGGAAGCAAAAUAUGAGGAGAUGGCAAAGGGGUUGCCUGAGAAGAUUAAACAUGCACUUCAUGAGGAACAUGAACUAGUGCUUGCUCGUCGAAUGGUUUAUAGUUGUGAUGGAUGUGGCAAAGGAGGAAAUAUCUGGUCCUUCUACUGUGAAGAGUGCGACUUUGAUCUUCAUCCAAAAUGUGCACUGAAAGAAGGUGAGGAAACUAAAGAUGAUGAAAAGGAUGAAUCAAAACCUGGAGAAGGAUGGGCCUGUGACGGGGAGGUCUGUUACAAAGCCUGAGAAAUCAGUGUUUUAAUGUUUUUAGCUGAGCUCAACUGAUCAAUAAAUAUGUAAAUAUUCAUGUGUUUUUUUCAGCUUUUGCUUGUUUUCCUCUUAUAGUAUGCUGAUCUUUGAAGGACACCUCUGCUCAUAUGCUUUGGAGGUAUCUCUUGAGAUGAAUCUUGUGUAUUACGUUGCUAUCAAUGAAGUCAUUUGCAUUAAAAAAAUUCCUGCCUUUUCCCUCAUCUCUGUGUGCUCAUG